CUACUUGGGUCAAUAACCGAACCAGCCGAAGCGGAAGGGCAGAACCGGUGGCAGUUCCUGGGUUUAAAAGCAGUGGUCAAAGCAACAGCGGCGAAUUCCGUCAAAAAUCUCUGCUAUUCAGACGGCGGAGUCAAUGUCUCUCUCAGCUCUCAACUCUUACCUCCCUAAACCAUGCGCGCCGCCGAGACCCGGCGGCCGACCCACCAGAACUAAAGUCUUCGCCCAGCCCCCAACCCUCGCAAUCCUCUCAGACCCUCACGUUCUCCGGCUAGCAGAGACUCUCGAGGACUCCAUCGCCGCCUCCUCCUCCUCUCCUCCUCCGCCUCUUCAGAAGCUCAGGGACAUCUCCUCCCAAUCCCUCCUCACGACGCCGUGGCCUUCUAGAAAAGACGAGCCAUUCAGGUUCACGGACACUUCGUUCAUCAGGAAUUCCGAGGUACAUCCCGUAACCCUAGCACCUACGCAGAAUUUGGACGUAUUAAGCGGUUUGGCCGAUUCUAUUUCCCCUAAUAUUGCAAUAAUCGACGGUUAUUUGGUUGAAUCGUUGUCGAAUUUAUCCGAAUUGCCUGAUGGGGUGUUUGUUGGGAGGCUGUCAGAUUUGAAUUCCAAGGGUUUGAUGGAGAAGGUGUCGAAAUACGUUUCCAAUUUUCAGGGGGAUUUGUUCUGGUCUCUCAAUGGCGUGGGCGCUCCUGAUGUGGUUCUUGUGUAUGUACCUGAGGGCUGCAAGGUUGAGAAACCUUUGGGUUUGAGAUUUGUUUCGAUGAAUAGGAGCUAUAAGGGCUCGAAAUCUCUGCCAAUUUCGAACCCGAGAGUGCUGGUUUUGGUGGAGAAAGGUGGGGAUAUUGGUAUAGUUGAGGAGUAUGUUGGUGGAGACGGGGAUGACAGAUGUUAUUGGACUAACUCAGUUAUGGAGGUGGUCGUUGGCGACGGGGCAAAGGUCAGCCACUCGUACAUCCAAACACAGUCAUUAGGUGCUGCACAUGUUAAGUGGACCUCAGUUUCCCAGGGAUCAAAAAGUGUCUAUGAGUUAACUGAAGUCAGCACUGGUGGAAAACUGAGCAGGCACAAUGUCCAUGUGAAGCAAGAAGGACCAGAUACUGUAACAGAGUUAUCAUCAUUUCACUUGUCAAUCGGUGAUCAGUUGCAAGACUUGCAUAGUAAGCUUGUCUUGGACCAUCCACGAGGUUUCUCACGGCAACUUCACAAGGUUAUUGUAGCACAUUCGCUAGGGCAGGCUGUUUUUGAUGGAAAUGUUCAAGUCAAUAGAGAUGCCCAGCAGACAGAUGCAGGACAACUUUCUAGGAGUCUCCUUUUGGAGCCCCGAGCAACUGUCAAUGUGAAACCGAACCUCCAAAUCAUUGCGGAUGAUGUUAAAUGCUCCCACGGAGCUGCAAUCAGUGAUUUGGAAGAAGACCAGCUCUUCUACUUCGAAGCACGUGGGAUUGACAGGUCUACUGCAAGAAAAGCUCUGAUUUUCUCAUUUGCAGCUGAAGUGAUAGAACAUUUCCCCGAUGUUACUCUCCAAAAGAAAGUUGAGAAUCUUAUUAGAACAUUGCUCACUCCCGCACUUCCUUCAGGGUAAGGCUCAAUUUAUUCAAUAACUUCUUGAAGGGUUUACUUCUAUAGUGCCUCUCCAUACCGUUUGAUAAUCUUAUUAGAACAUUGCUCACUCCCGCACUUCCUUCAGGGGUAUAAAAGAGGGAGACAUUCAACUUCUAGUUAUUGGGUCUGCUCACAAGCUGCAAAAUUGGUAAUAAAUUCAUACAAUUACCUACCUUAGACUAAAUUCUAGUAUGGACUUGUCGAAAUGUGACUUAAUUAUGUCCUUUUUUCCUCUUUCCUUACAUUGUACCAGCUUGGAAACUUCCCAAACGAAUCGACAGUAUAUAGGAUGAAUGAAAUAUAACGAUAUUUGAUACCUUGGUGUGUAUGUAUAGGUAGCUACUCUCUUGACCAACUUGAAGUUGAAAGAGGCUUAGUCAGAAAAUAAACACAAGUUUUAAUUAGCUGGUGAGUUAUAGCAAGAUUCCCCUUUGAAGAACAUCUCCAUUUGUAUCUAUAAGUAGCCGGAAAAAAUAAAAAUUUACAGAUUCUCAACAUUUUAUUUAUGCCUUAUCUAAUGUAAAAUAUUCAAUUUUUAACUUAUUUGCUAGUUGACUUUGAUAUAUUUCGAUUUA